AGACUCGGGAGUCCGCGGCGGAGUGAAAAGCAGCGGAGGUUGCGCUGCGAAGGAAGGGCCCACGCCCUGGACCCGGCUGGCGGGAAAGUGGAUAGCCUUCCCGGAGGAACUGUUGGAGCUGCUGAGAAAACCUGCGUAGGGGCACCGUGGUAUAAAUCUCUCGAUUGUUGACACGGAAGAGAAAAAAGAGAAGUGAAUUUGGACUGACACAACUAAGAUGGCCGGUGGAAUAUUUCGCCAGUUCGGUGACUCACGGUGGGUGGAGGAGGAAGGGUUAAAAACUUUGUUGUGUGUAGAUGAACUUCAAAACCGAAUGUAUUCCGGUAUCUGAGAGCCUCAUUUUGUGUCUGACCUGUAUUUCUUACCUAGAGAAGCAGGCGACAAUUCGAUGAAUGUUAAGCGUACAUAGGUUAUAAUCCUUGCUCAUGGGCCUUCAAGAUGAUCGCUCAAAUGUAAAGUAAAACUGUGAACUUUUAGAAUAAAAACAGGGAGAGGCUGGGGGUGUAGGGGUCAGUUGGUAGAGUGUACAAAGACAUGGAUUUGAUACCCUUCAUCUCAUAACCCGGCAUAUGCCUGUGAUCCUAGCUUUCAGGAGGUGAAAGCAGGAAGGUUGAAGCCAACCUAAGACUGUUUCG
rnacentral:lncRNA from 1 species